rnacentral:snoRNA from 1 species
GAUGGUUUUUAUCAAAGCUGCAGCUGCCUCUACCUAGCUGCUUUGGUCAAAAUGGAGCUCAGAGUCAUAUACCCCGAGAAAAAU